rnacentral:tRNA from 1 species
UGGGUUGUGGCUCAGUGGUAGGGUGCUUGCUUAGCAUGCACGUGGCCCUGGGUUCAUCCCCAGCACCACAC